rnacentral:ncRNA from 1 species
AUGAUAUCGACAAGUUCCCCCGGUGCAGAUCUUGUUGGUAAUAACAAAUAUUCAAAUGAGAACUUUGAAGACUGAAGUGGGGAAAUGUUCCAUGUGAACAACACUUGGACAUGGGUUACUCGAUCCUAAGAGAUGGGGAAGCCCUAUAUCAAGGGUGCACUCUGGACGAACAUCGAAAGGGAAUUGGGUUAAUAUUCCCAAACCGGGACAUGGCAGUGGAUGACAACAUUAGGAAAUCUAGAGACGUCAUCGGGGGCAUCGAGAAGAGUUAUCUUUUCUUUUUAAUGGAUUUCCCACCCUGAAAUUGGUUCAACCGGAGAUAGGGUCCAGUGGUUGGAAGAGCACCACACGUCUUGCGGUGUCCGGUGCCCCCUCGAUGGCCAUUCAAAAUCUAGAGGACUGAGUACCGUCCAUGCCUAGUCAUACUCAUAACCACAUCAGGUAUCCAAGGUGAACAACCUUUGGUCAAAAUAACAAUGU